CAGAAUCACAAGAUGUCACGUUGAGCCCUAACCUCUACACUUCAGACUGACGCCAAUGAAGAAAACAAAAGAGGAAGGAAAAACAACGGAGGAAAUGGAUACCGUACAGAACCCCUAAACCGAGUUGACACGCGAGACACUAAAUCUUGUUUUUCUUCAAUUUUCCCUUGUAUAUCCGUGUGAGAUCUCUCUCGUGAAUGGCAUUCAGCACAUCCAAUCCGAAGGCUUCCACUCAAAUCCAACACGUUACAGAGACCAGGAAGCCCCUGAGAUGUGGCCAGACGGCGAGGCGCGUUGGACGCCGCCUGGAGGUCAUCACAGCCCGGGCCGACGGUACUCCCCUGAUGUCCCUCCUCUCCUCCCCCUCUCCUCCCCCUCUCCUCCUCCCGCUCGGGGGAGAGGGAGGUGCGGGCGUCCUCUGUGCUGGGGGGGGGACACGCCGAGCGGACCCCUGAACCCGUAUAGAAAUAAAUAACAAUGCAAAUAAAAGAAAUGACUGAGAGGAGACGGGGAGUCGUCCUUCACCGGGAACACAGCGGAACGUGCCUCCCCCUCAAUGCUCCCAUCCAGGGGGGACUCCUCAGGGGGAGAGAGGGAGGGG
ensembl:lncRNA